UGUCCAGGGGAUAUUCCCAACCCAGGGAUCGAACCCAGGUCUCCCACAUAGCAGGCGGAUUCUUUACCAGUUGAGCCACAAGGGAAGCUCAGUAGUAAUUUAGUAGUAAAGGGGCAUUUUUUUGUCUACAACUAACUCUCAAAUAGUUCAGAAGAAAAAAAAAUUAGAUGAGGAGAUGAGAAAAUGCUAAUGUAGCUAAGCUAGAAAUUUAAGUAAAAGAUAAAUGGACAUCUUUGUCCUAUUUUUUAAUCUUUUCUGUNNNCUUGAAAUUUUAUUAAAAUAAAAUGCUACCCCAUCAAAAAAGACAAUUUAAAGACAAAGCGAACAUAAUGAUAAUCCCUAGUCCACUUGACUCUAAAUCACCAAGCAUGCUUUUUCAUUCAUUCAUUUAUUCAGCCAACAUGGAUCAAAGGCUUAUUCUGUACCAGGCUCUCCAUUAAAAACACUUGGGAUGUAUCAGAGAUCCAGCACUUUUCUGCCUGCACACUGGUCACAGUAGAGUUUGGUUAACAUAAAAUGCAGAUUCGGGGGGCUCAAGACUGAGUACAUUAGAUCUCUGAAGCAGGGACAAGGGAUCCAUAAUGUAUAAAAUUUCCUGCAAUGUUGCUUAUAUACAUUAAUGCAGAGCUGUUUUUCAAAAUAUGGACUUUGAUCCAUAGUGGUUUAUAAUAGCAAUUUAGUGAGCAAAGAUUUUUUUUUACAUUAAAAUAAUAGAAAAAGAGAAAACAGAAAAGAAAAUAAGAAUGCUGACACAUGGUAAGAGUCACUAUUAUUUUAUAAAACUUUGGUUUCCAUGCCCUUGAGUCACUAAGUAAACUAGGUUUCAUGUAGAAAACCACUGCUAGAAAAUAUGAUAUGUAAAAUAUAUCAUUUCUUUUUUCCUCUCUAGCCCCUGUACCCAACAGUUCUCCCUUAGUCCAGAUUGAGGGCUAUUGAGAGCCUGGGGCACAUUCACAGCCUUGAGAAGCAACAGGCCGUUCCAGGAAUUUGACUCACUGUCUGUAUCCCUGGUGUGACAGCCCUUCCUUUUCCUCCUGCGUAGGGCCCAGAGCCGCACUGUCCCACAGAUGGCAAUGUCUCCAGCACGUCACCUCACCUCUUUUGAAGGACGCGACAGAGCACGGCACGCUGUCUAUCCUGGCACUUGUUGGCAGAGAUAGAGCCACCACAAGAAAGGAACUUCUGAGACGGAAAACUUCCGCCUCCCUGGAUGCUUUUUUGAGGAAACAAGAACACAGGACACAGCCCAGCCCCUUUUCCAGGCCACAGUGCUGAGUGUUUAAUUCAGGCUCCUCAUGUCUGGUUGAAAUCCUAUGUAGCACAUACUUUCUGACCCAGAUGAGACAGAACCGUUGUCUUAAAUCAAAAUGAAACAG
rnacentral:lncRNA from 1 species